rnacentral:tRNA from 1 species
GGGAAUAUGGUGAAAUGGUAGACACAAUAAAUUUAAAAUUUAUUACUUAAACGUGUAAGGGUUCAAAUCCCUUUAUUCCUA